GCAUGUGUCUCACGAGGUAGUAUUUCUGCAAAAAGGAGGCACUGCAGUGUGUACAAGAAAAGGGACGCUCUGCUGUGUGAGAGCGCAUGUGUAAAUUUAAAUAGUCUUUCCGCGCAAAGGCUGCAUUGCAGUGGACACAGGAAAAGGGACGCUCUCCUGUGUGCGUGCGCAUGUGCCUCACGAAGUCGUAUUUCUGCAAAAAAGAGGCAUUGCAGUGGGUACAGGAAAAGGGACGCUCUGCUGUGUGCGUGCUCAUGUGGAUAUUGAGGGAAUCUUUCCGCGAAAAGGAUGCGUUGCAGUGGACACAGGAAAAGGGACGCUCUCCUGUGUGAGUGGGCAUGUGAGCCACCAGCUUGGAUUCCUCAGUGUAUGUAGCUGGACACAUGCGGCACUGGAAGGGGCGCUCGCCCAUGUGUUUCCCAAGGUGUCUCGUCAUAUGUGCCUUAUUUCGUGUCACAUAGGUGCACUGCUGGCAGGAAUGCAGUCGACCUCGUACAGGCGCCAAUGAAGAAGACGGCUCCAGGGACGCGAAAGGCAAGG